AACGAACGCUGGCGGCAUGCCUAACACAUGCAAGUCGAACGAGACCUUCGGGUCUAGUGGCGCACGGGUGCGUAACGCGUGGGAACCUGCCCUUAGGUUCGGAAUAACUCCCCGAAAGGGGUGCUAAUACCGGAUAAUGUCUUCGGACCAAAGAUUUAUCGCCUUUGGAUGGGCCCGCGUUGGAUUAGCUAGUUGGUAGGGUAAAAGCCUACCAAGGCGACGAUCCAUAGCUGGUCUGAGAGGAUGAUCAGCCACACUGGGACUGAGACACGGCCCAGACUCCUACGGGAGGCAGCAGUGGGGAAUUUUGGACAAUGGGCGAAAGCCUGAUCAAGCAAUGCCGCGUGAGUGAUGAAGGCCUUAGGGUUGUAAAGCUCUUUUACCCGGGAUGAUAAUGACAGUACCGGGAGAAUAAGCUCCGGCUAACUCCGUG
rnacentral:rRNA from 1 species